rnacentral:rRNA from 1 species
GGGGGGGCAAGCGUUUGUUCGGAUUUACUGGGCGUAAAGAGCUCGUAGGCGGCCUGUUUAGUCGGACGUGAAAUCCCUCGGCUCAACUGAGGAACUGCGUCCGAUACUGGCAGGCUUGAAUCCGGGAGAGGGAUGCGGAAUUCCAGGUGUAGCGGUGAAAUGCGUAGAUAUCUGGAGGAACACCGGUGGCGAAGGCGGCAUCCUGGACCGGUAUUGACGCUGAGGAGCGAAAGCCAGGGUAGCAAACGGGAUUAGAUACCCCGGUAGUCCUGGCCCUAAACGAUGAAUGCUUGGUGUAGCGGGUAUCGAUCCCCUGCUGUGCCGAAGCUAACGCAUUAAGCAUUCCGCCUGGGGAGUACGGUCGCAAGGCUG